UACAGAGGGUGCGAGCGUUAAUCGGAAUUACUGGGCGUAAAGCGCGCGUAGGCGGCUUUGCAAGUCGGGUGUGAAAUCCCCAGGCUUAACCUGGGAACUGCAUUCGAGACUGCAUUGCUAGAGUAUGGGAGAGGGAAGUGGAAUUUCCGGUGUAGCGGUGAAAUGCGUAGAUAUCGGAAGGAACAUCAGUGGCGAAAGCGACUUCCUGGACCAAUACUGACGCUGAGUGCGCGAAAGCCAGGGGAGCAAACGGG
rnacentral:rRNA from 1 species